rnacentral:tRNA from 1 species
ACCUGGCUGGCUCAGUCAGUAGAGCAUGGAGCUCUUGACCUUGGGGUUGUGAGUUCAAGCCCCACGUUGGGUA